UACGUAGGGUGCAAGCGUUAAUCGGAAUUACUGGGCGUAAAGGGCGCGUAGGCGGCACUGUUAGUCAGGCGUGAAAGUCCUGGGCUCAACCUGGGAACUGCGCUUGAUACGGCAGAGCUAGAGGAUGGAAGAGGCUCGCGGAAUUCCCAGUGUAGAGGUGAAAUUCGUAGAUAUUGGGAAGAACACCGGUGGCGAAGGCGGCGAGCUGGUCCAUUACUGACGCUGAGGCGCGACAGCGUGGUGAGCAAACAGG
rnacentral:rRNA from 1 species